rnacentral:rRNA from 1 species
UACGUAGGUGGCAAGCGUUGUCCGGAUUUAUUGGGUUUAAAGGGUGCGUAGGCGGCCCUGUAAGUCAGUGCUGAAAUACCCCGGCUUAACCGGGGGGGGUGGCAUUGAUACUGCAGGGCUUGAGUACAGAUGAGGUAGGCGGAAUUGACGGUGUAGCGGUGAAAUGCAUAGAUAUCGUCAAGAACACCGAUAGCGAAGGCAGCUUACUGGGCUGUAACUGACGCUGAUGCACGAAAAGUGUGGGGGAUCAAAACAGG